CAAAAAAUGGAAUGUGGUUCUUCUUCUGAAUUACAUCAGCAAUCUUUUUCCAUUGCUCAGGUGUGGGAUCAAUACCAGUUGGGUUGUGUGCACAGCCAUGGAGCAAGAUAAAUGAUCCUUCUGGGGCAGCCUUUAUAUCUUCUAUCAUCCCAGCAAAGUCAAGGCCAACUGUUUUGGGAUCAUAAUAUCGAUAUUCAGACCAAGGCACUCUGGCAUCAUUAAAAAUGUUUUUAUGAUUUCCCCAUGUUGGAGAAGAUAUCAAAAUCUUAGAGUAAGGGAAGUAACGCUCUAUCAGUGCUGCAGCAAUACGCAAUGACCCAGUUCCUGAUAGACCUUGAAUCGUAGCUACCCUUUGUUGCUGAAGCACUGGGUUAUCUUUUCCAAACAAUAACUCUGCUGUGACUUUGUUGAAUGCAGCCAAACCUUCUAUUGGAAGAUACUCUUUGUUUUCUCCUCUCUCCAGUAUAAGGUUCUCUGCUUUCUUAACUACAUUGAGGACAUAUGGUUGAAGAUCCUCUGUGCGGUAAGCUCCAACUCCAAGGUUAAGCUUCAGUUCAUUUGUAUCAGCCUUGAAUGCUUCAGAAACUCCUAGAAUGGGGUCAGCGGGAGCCAUUGUUAUUCCCUCAAAUCGAGAGACAUUAACAGCAACAGCCAUAGUAGUCCGACCAUUUGACUUUGCCUUCAUGAAGUCCUUCCCAGGAAAGGCCCUUUGGCUAGAAGUCCCUAUCUUCAGCUUUGGCUUGAGAUUAUCUUGCAAGGAAAUUGAAGCUGAAGGAGUGACAGAAGCUAGAGAAAACAUUGUGGAAGCCAUCUGGGAUUUAAGCGCGCAAAGGAAGAAGAGGGAUACCAGGGUUUCGGGGCUUCGGAUUUACAGGAAAGCUAACACACUGGAAGAACUGAUCGAUG
rnacentral:misc_RNA from 1 species